rnacentral:piRNA from 1 species
UAGAAGACAACAAAAAAGUAA